AAAAAAAAGCAUCUUCUCUUUUCUCCUCCUUUAUGAAAUUGCUUCCUCCUAGUUUUUUCCCCUUCAGUUCUAAGGCUUUGACCUGAAUAGUUUUCAUUCCGUCCAAACUCUGGUUAAAAGCAAAGUCAUCAAUAAUUUUAGAAGGAGUCUGUUUGCCAGCGCCCGCUGAGAUAAUCUAGUUUGAAGGUUCUGAUUGAUUUGUAUCUAAACAGAAACGCACACCGCAUCAGCUGGGUCCAGGAACUUGCUUGAAAGUGAAACCAUAUCAAAUACUACAAAGGUUGAGAAAAUUCUGCCUCAGCAACCUCGGGCCCAGGCAAAGAAUGACCAGAAGGCGCUAAAUGAUUUGCAAAAAUAAGAUACUUAAGAAUGAUGGUUCAUACAGACAUUGAGG
rnacentral:lncRNA from 1 species